AAUCAACGCUGGCGGCGUGCCUAACACAUGCAAGUCGAACGCGAAAGUCCCGCAAGGGAUUAGUAGAGUGGCAAACGGGUGAGUAACACGUGGGUGACCUGCCUUCGAGCGGGGGAUAACGUCCCGAAAGGGACGCUAAUACCGCAUAACAUCCUGCCUUUUAAGAGGUGGAGAUCAAAGCUGGGGACCGUAAGGCCUGGCGCUGGAAGAGGGGCCCGCGUCUGAUCAGCUAGUUGGGAGGUAACGGCUCACCAAGGCAACGAUCAGUAUCCGGCCUGAGAGGGCGGACGGACACACUGGGACUGAGACACGGCCCAGACUCCUACGGGAGGCAGCAGUGGGGAAUUGUUCGCAAUGGGCGCAAGCCUGACGACGCAACGCCGCGUGGAGGAUGAAGACCUCGGUC
rnacentral:rRNA from 1 species